CUCCCAAAGUGCUGGUGUUAUAGGCAUGAGCCACUGUGUCCAGGUCACGUUUGCACUCUUAUUCUCCAUAUAGUAGUGUGAGCAAUCUUUUGAAAUGGGCUUUAAAACUCUCCACUGCUCCCUGUGGUUUUUAUCUAACUACUCUGUCCUUUGCUUACAAUGUUUCGUCCACAUUAGGCUUCUUUUUCUUACUUACAAAGCUUGCUCUUACCUCAGGAACUUUACACUAGCAUUUUACUUUGAAAUGCCUUUCCACCAGUUGUUUGCAGGACUAGAUCCAUCUAGUCUUUUAGAUCUCAUUUCACAUGUCACUUCCUCAGAAAGGCCUUCUCUGACUACCACAUACCAAGUAUAGGCAUGCUUCGUUUUAUCGUGCUUUGCUCUGUUGCAUUUCACAGAUACUGCAUUUUUUUUUUUUUACAAAUUGAAGGUGUGUGGGAACCCUGAAUUGAGCAAGUCUAUCAGUGUCAUUUUUCCAAAAGCAUAUGCUCACUUUGUGUCUCUAUAUCUCAUGUGUUCUC